GUGACUACAACCAUGACUAUUGACCUUAAAGGAGAGGUGGUGACUACAACCAUGACUAGUGACCUUAAAGGAGAGGUUGUGACUACAACCAUGACUAGUGACCUUAAAGGAGAGGUUGUGACUACAACCAUGACUAGAGACCUUAAAGGGGAGGUGGUGACUACAACCAUGACUAGUGACCUUAAAGGAGAGGUUGUGACUACAACCAUGACUAGAGACCUUAAAGGAGAGGUGGUGACUACAACCAUGACUAGAGACCUUAAAGGAGAGGUUGUGACUACAACCAUGACUAGUGACCUUAAAGGAGAGGUGGUGACUACAACCAUGACUAGUGACCUUAAAGGAGAGGUUGUGACUACAACCAUGACUAGUGACCUUAAAGGAGAGGUGGUGACUACAACCAUGACUAGUGACCUUAAAGGAGAGGUGGUGACUACAACCAUGACUAGUGACCUUAAAGGAGAGGUUGUGACUACAACCAUGACUAGUGACCUUAAAGGAGAGGUGGUGACUACAACCAUGACUAGUGACCUUAUAGGAGAGGUUGUGACUACAACCAUGACUAGAGACCUUAAAGGGGAGGUGGUGACUACAACAUCUUAGAGUGUCAUGGAUGACAUGGAAAAGAAGCAGAG
rnacentral:lncRNA from 1 species